rnacentral:rRNA from 1 species
CAUGCAGUCGACGCUGAAGCUCCAGCUUGCUGGGGUGGAUGAGUGGCGAACGGGUGAGUAACACGUGAGUAACCUUCCCUUGACUCUGGGAUAAGCCCGGGAAACUGGGUCUAAUACCGGAUAUGACCUCCUGUCGCAUGGUGGGGGGUGGAAAGAUUUAUCGGUCUUGGAUGGACUCGCGGCCUAUCAGCUUGUUGGUGAGGUAAUGGCUCACCAAGGCGACGACGGGUAGCCGGCCUGAGAGGGUGACCGGCCACACUGGGACUGAGACACGGCCCAAACUCCUACGGGAGGCAGCAGUGGGGAAUAUUGCACAAUGGGCGCAAGCCUGAUGCAGCGACGCCGCGUGAGGGAUGACGGCCUUCGGGUUGUAAACCUCUUUCAGUAGGGAAGAAGCCUUCGGGUGACGGUACCUGCAGAAGAAGCGCCGGCUAACUACGUGCCAGCAGCCGCGGUAAUACGUAAGGCGCGAGCGUUAUCCGGAAUUAUUGGGCGUAAAGAGCUCGUAAGCGGUUUGUCGCGUCUGCCGUGAAAGUCCGGGGCUUAACCCCGUGAUCUGCGGUGGGUACGGGCAAACUACAAUGCAGUAGGCGAGACCGGAUUUCCUGGUGUAGCGGAUGAAUGGCGCAGAUAUCCACGACGAACACCCAUGGGUAAAGCGGGUCUCUGAGCCUGGUACUGACUCUCUAGGUAGCGACCCCAUGGUUAGCGUACUACGAUUCAUACCCUGCCAGACAAUGCCGUAACGCUGGGGCGCUACGUGUGGGAGACAUUCCAUUUUCUCCGUCGCCGCAGGUAAUCGCAGUACUCGUCUCGGCUGCUGAAGUACGCCCGCCACGGCUCAAAAUACCAGGAAUUGA